AGAGUUUGAUCAUGGCUCAGAACGAACGCUGGCGGCAGGCCUCAAACAUGCAAGUCUAGGGGGUGUAGCAAUACAUCACCGGCGGACGGGUGCGUAACACGUGGGAAUAUACCUUUUGGUUCGGAACAACGCAGGGAAACUUGCGCUAAUACCGAAUGUGCCCUUACGGGGAAAGAUUUAUCGCCAAAGGAUUAGCCCGCGUCCGAUUAGCUAGUUGGUGAGGUAAUGGCUCACCAAGGCUCCGAUCGGUAGCUGUUCUGAGAGGAAGAUCAGCCACACUGGGACUGAGACACGGCCCAGACUCCUACGGGAGGCAGCAGUUGGGAAUCUUGGACAAUGGGGGAAACCCUGAUCCAGCCAUGCCGCGUGAGUGAUGAAGGCCUUCGGGUUGUAAAACUCUUUCGACGGGGACGAUAAUGACGGUACCCGUAGAAGAAGCUCCGGCUAACUUCGUGCCAGCAGCCGCGGUAAUACGAAGGGGGCUAGCGUUGUUCGGAAUUACUGGGCGUAAAGCGCGCGCAGGCGGUUUUUCAAGUCAGUGGUGAAAGCCCGGAGCUCAACUCCGGAACUGCCAUUGAAACUGUGAAACUUGAGGAUGAGAGAGGUGAGUGGAAUUCCCAGUGUAGAGGUGAAAUUCGUAGAUAUUGGGAAGAACACCGGUGGCGAAGGCGGCUCACUGGCUCAUUUCUGACGCUCAGGCGCGACAGCGUGGGGAUCAAACAGGAUUAGAUACCCUGGUAGUCC
rnacentral:rRNA from 1 species